GCUGACACGUCCCGGCCAAUCUCCAGCAGACCCUCCCUCCCAGACCCUCCUACUUCCUGGACAGCAUCCAUGUUUCAACAUGGAUGCUGUCCAGGAAGUAGGAGGGUCUGGGAGGGAGGGUCUGCUGGAGAUUGGCCGGGACGUGCAUG